rnacentral:rRNA from 1 species
AUUGAACGCUGGCGGCAUGCUUUACACAUGCAAGUCGAACGGUAACAGGCCUUCGGGUGCUGACGAGUGGCGAACGGGUGUGUAAUGCAUCGGAACGUACCCAGAGGUGGGGGAUAACGCAGCGAAAGCUGUGCUAAUACCGCAUGUGAUCUGAGGAUGAAAGCGGGGGACCGAGCAGCAAUGUUUGGCCUCGCGCCUUUGGAGCGGCCGAUGUCGGAUUAGCUAGUUGGUGGGGUAAAGGCCUACCAAGGCGACGAUCCGUAGCUGGUCUGAGAGGACGACCAGCCACACUGGGACUGAGACACGGCCCAGACUCCUACGGGAGGCAGCAAUGGGGAAUUUUGGACAAUGGGCGCAAGCCUGAUCCAGCAAUGCCGCGUGCGGGAAGAAGGCCUUCGGGUUGUAAACCGCUUUUGGCAGGAACGAAACGGUGUCCGCUAAUACCGGGCGCUAAUGACGGUACCUGCAGAAUAAGCACCGGCUAACUACGUG